CCUUAGUUGCCAGCAGUUCGGCUGGGCACUCUAAAGGGACUGCCGGUGUUAAACCGGAGGAAGGUGGGGAUGACGUCAAGUCCUCAUGGCCUUUAUGACCAGGGCUACACACGUACUACAAUGGCCGAUACAAAGGGCAGCGACACUGCGAGGUGAAGCCAAUCCCGUAAAAUCGGUCUCAGUCCGGAUUGGAGCCUGCAACUCGACUCCAUGAAGUUGGAAUCGCUAGUAAUCGUGGAUCAGCAUGCCACGGUGAAUACGUUCCCGGGCCUU
rnacentral:rRNA from 1 species